GGGUUGUGAGGUUAAGCGACUAAGCGUACACGGUGGAUGCCCUGGCAGUCAGAGGCGAUGAAGGGCGUGCUAAUCUGCGAUAAGCGCCGGUAAGGUGAUAUGAACCGUUAUAACCGGCGAUACCCGAAUGGGGAAACCCAGUGUGACUCGUCACACUAUCAUUAACUGAAUCCAUAGGUUAAUGAGGCGAACCGGGGGAACUGAAACAUCUAAGUACCCCGAGGAAAAGAAAUCAACCGAGAUUCCCCCAGUAGCGGCGAGCGAACGGGGAGGAGCCCAGAGCCUGAAUCAGCAUGUGUGUUAGUGGAAGCGUCUGGAAAGGCGCGCGAUACAGGGUGACAGCCCCGUACACAAAAGCGCAUGUGCUGUGAGCUCGAUGAGUAGGGCGGGACACGUGGUAUCCUGUCUGAAUAUGGGGGGACCAUCCUCCAAGGCUAAAUACUCCUGACUGACCGAUAGUGAACCAGUACCGUGAGGGAAAGGCGAAAAGAACCCCGGCGAGGGGAGUGAAAAAGAACCUGAAACCGUGUACGUACAAGCAGUGGGAGCCCCACCACUAAGCCAGUGGUGAACUCCACAUACGCAUCCUUUGCUGAGGAUACGGUUAACGGAGCGAAAGCGACGUUCAACCUCAAAAGAAGCAGAGGGGGCUUAGUGGUGGGGUGACUGCGUACCUUUUGUAUAAUGGGUCAGCGACUUAUAUUCUGUAGCAAGGUUAACCGAAUAGGGGAGCCGGAGGGAAACCGAGUCUUAAUUGGGCGUUAAGUUGCAGGGUAUAGACCCGAAACCCGGUGAUCUAGCCAUGGGCAGGUUGAAGGUUGGGUAACACUAACUGGAGGACCGAACCGACUAAUGUUGAAAAAUUAGCGGAUGACCUGUGGCUGGGGGUGAAAGGCCAAUCAAACCGGGAGAUAGCUGGUUCUCCCCGAAAGCUAUUUAGGUAGCGCCUCGUGAAUUCAUCUCCGGGGGUAGAGCACUGUUUCGGCUAGGGGGCCAUCCCGGCUUACCAACCCGAUGCAAACUGCGAAUACCGGAGAAUGUUAUCACGGGAGACACACGGCGGGUGCUAACGUCCGUCGUGAAGAGGGAAACAACCCAGACCGCCAGCUAAGGUCCCAAAGUCAUGGUUAAGUGGGAAACGAUGUGGGAAGGCCCAGACAGCCAGGAUGUUGGCUUAGAAGCAGCCAUCAUUUAAAGAAAGCGUAAUAGCUCACUGGUCGAGUCGGCCUGCGCGGAAGAUGUAACGGGGCUAAACCAUGCACCGAAGCUGCGGCAGCGAACGUAUCACCCAAGACAACUUUACGGAGUUGACGAUUGACGGAGCGAAGCGACGUCAAAGCGUUCAUUAAAGUCGAGUUGGCUUAGGGAUACGUUCGUUGGGUAGGGGAGCGUUCUGUAAGCCUGUGAAGGUGGCCUGUGAGGGUUGCUGGAGGUAUCAGAAGUGCGAAUGCUGACAUAAGUAACGAUAAAGCGGGUGAAAAGCCCGCUCGCCGGAAGACCAA
rnacentral:rRNA from 1 species